ACGCCAUGGCAACCUCGCGGCGGCCAUAUUAUGUGAAAAUUCACUUUGGGCCAGUCUUGCAACGAGCGGCUCAAAGUUUGUGCGGUGCACCUCCCAAGCUCAAACUUUUGAGUGGCACACAAGGGUACAACAGGGUACAACACGAUCCACAGCUCAACUAAGUUUGAGCGUGGGAGCCGCAAAAAAAGUUUGAGCUGUGAAUGCUCAAUCUUCUGCUCAAACGUAUCAGCCAAUCAGCGCGACCAUGACUCUCCCCUCUCUACCGUGCUGCCUACAACCCUCUUUUCUUUUGCCUACGGGCCUAAAUGGGGAACACGAAAAGGGUGAUUUUGAUGAAGGUCACGUCGUCCACCAAAAAUGGAGUGGGGUGCGUUUUUAAGUGAGGGGGAGAGGGUUUAUCUGAACUAUGAAGAGAGAUUACUUGGGGAAAUAAAAAAUGUAAACAUAAAAUAAAAAUACUGUGAGAAUCAGCGUGAAAAACUGAUUCGAUUUCUAUUAAUUUCCACCUGAUCCCUUAUUAUAUGCAAAAACCCUAUUCUGUCAUUUCACCAAGAGGUGUAAAAUUUCAGCGCUAGAUGUCAUGGCAAAAUAAGCAGUUCAAUGAGAGUUUGAGCUGUGCGCCGCAGAGUUUGAGUGAACGGCAAGACUGCUUUGGGCGAUGUGGAGUUCUUACGGGUUUUGGGAGGGUCCCUUAGAUUUGAUUCCUCUUGCGAAAUGAUUGCGUGACAAAUGACCUCCCUCUGUGACACGAUAGCUGCGCCAUCAAUCUCCAUGACGUUAUGGCAAUGUUCUAACUACAAAUUUAUGAUCAGAAACUGACUGGAAAUGUUGUUGUUAUUCGUUCAGACUACUGGUUCUUUCAAGGCAAAUGAUUGAUCCUCUUUUGUGACUCACAAUUUUAAACAAAUUAUCGUCCCCGAUUUGACGGAUCUGGAUAACAAUCGAUUAUGGUGCAGGUUUAGACGGCCUCUACUACCUUAAGGCCCGACAAGAAUCAACCCCACCCGUUCCAUGUAUCAUUACUACUUCAAAGGUCCCAAAAAUGAUUCAGGAAUUUAUUUAUCGGAAAACAUUUACAAGAUGAACAUUUCUCCGCGUCAGUACAACAUCACGGAAUUCUAUACGGACGUACAAAUCAGCAACAGAGCGUUUCUUCCGGUUGCCAGCAGGCAUUUAUUGGUCGUCAUCUUUCUACUUUUAGUCGGACUUCAUUCAAGAGCAAUUUAAUUACAUUUUUCAAAAAUUCCUAUAUCACAAUUCAAAACGAUACUCAUGAUGUUACAGCAUAUAUUUUUUCCCUCCUUUUAUUCAAGAUACGCACCUGCACGAUUUCUAUUCAAUGUUUGAUUUUACCGCCAACUAUUUAGUCAGCGGGAAAAUACAUUUUAAAAAACGUUCGUCUUCAA